rnacentral:rRNA from 1 species
GCAGAGCACUCCUACGGGAGGCAGCAGUAAGGAAUAUUGGUCAAUGGACGCAAGUCUGAACCAGCCAUGCCGCGUGAAGGAUGAAGGUCCUCUGGAUUGUAAACUUCUUUUAUAGGGGGCGAAAAAAGGUUUUUCUAAAUCACUUGACAGUACCCUAUGAAUAAGCACCGGCUAACUCCGUGCCAGCAGCCGCGGUAAUACGGAGGGUGCAAGCGUUAUCCGGAUUCACUGGGUUUAAAGGGUGCGUAGGCGGGUAGGUAAGUCAGAGGUGAAAUCCUGGAGCUUAACUCCAGAACUGCCUUUGAUACUAUCUAUCUUGAAUAUGGUGGAGGUAAGCGGAAUAUGUCAUGUAGCGGUGAAAUGCAUAGAUAUGACAUAGAACACCUAUUGCGAAGGCAGCUUACUACGCCUAUAUUGACGCUGAGGCACGAAAGCGUGGGGAUCAAACAGGAUUAGAUACCCUGGUAG